GGCACUAGAAGCCGAUGAAGGACGUUACUAACGACGAUAUGCUUUGGGGAGCUGUAAGUAAGCUUUGAUCCAGAGAUUUCCGAAUGGGGAAACCCAGCAUGAGUUAUGUCAUGUUAUCGAUAUGUGAAUACAUAGCAUAUCAGAAGGCACACCCGGAGAACUGAAACAUCUUAGUACCCGGAGGAAGAGAAAGAAAAUUCGAUUCCCUUAGUAGCGGCGAGCGAAACGGGAAGAGCCCAAACCAACAAGCUUGCUU
rnacentral:rRNA from 1 species